GGGGAAGGUAGCUUGCUACCGGACCUAGCGGCGGACGGGUGAGUAAUGCUUAGGAAUCUGCCUAUUAGUGGGGGACAACAUCUCGAAAGGGAUGCUAAUACCGCAUACGUCCUACGGGAGAAAGCAGGGGAUCUUCGGACCUUGCGCUAAUAGAUGAGCCUAAGUCGGAUUAGCUAGUUGGUGGGGUAAAGGCCUACCAAGGCGACGAUCUGUAGCGGGUCUGAGAGGAUGAUCCGCCACACUGGGACUGAGACACGGCCCAGACUCCUACGGGAGGCAGCAGUGGGGAAUAUUGGACAAUGGGGGGAACCCUGAUCCAGCCAUGCCGCGUGUGUGAAGAAGGCCUUAUGGUUGUAAAGCACUUUAAGCGAGGAGGAGGCUACUCUAGUUAAUACCUAGGGAUAGUGGACGUUACUCGCAGAAUAAGCACCGGCUAACUCUGUGCCAGCAGCGGGCGGGUAAUAAA
rnacentral:rRNA from 1 species